rnacentral:lncRNA from 1 species
GGUGGGCCCAAUCCCGGGGCGGUGCGGCUGUUUCGGGCGCGGGCCCCGCUUUUCCGCACCCUGCUCCGGCCUCGACUACGGCGAGCCUGAGCGCGGCGGCGGCCCACGCGCAGCGACAGGGAGAGGUGAGCGCGCUCGCAGGCCUGCGCCGGGUCCUCGGGCCCGCUCGUCCCCCCUGCCGGAGCCGGCCACAGCGGCGGCCCGGGGCUGCUGGGGACCCUGCGCGACGCUUCUCCGUUCGCGCCCGCCGCCCGCGGGGCCCCGGCCCGAGCCUGCCUGCGCGGAACCCGAGGUGGCUAUUAUCAUGGAAAACUAAUUUUUCCCAGAGAAUUUCCUUUCAAACCUCCCAGUAUCUAUAUGAUCACUCCCAACGGGAGGUUUAAGUGCAACACCAGGCUGUGUCUUUCUAUCACGGAUUUCCACCCGGACACGUGGAACCCGGCCUGGUCUGUCUCCACCAUCCUGACUGGGCUCCUGAGCUUCAUGGUGGAGAAGGGCCCCACCCUGGGCAGUAUAGAGACGUCGGACUUCACGAAAAGACAACUGGCAGUGCAGAGUUUAGCAUUUAAUUUGAAAGAUAAAGUCUUUUGUGAAUUAUUUCCUGAAGUCGU